GCUGGGAUAGCUCAAUCAGUAGAGCACAAGGCUCAAAAUCUCAGGUUCGUGGGUUCAAGACCCACGUUGGGCA